GACGAACGCUGGCGGCGUGCUUAACACAUGCAAGUCGAGCGAGGCCCUCCUUCGGGGGGUGCCCUAGCGGCGAACGGGUGAGUAACACGUGGGCAACCUGCCCUCAGCUCUGGGAUAACUCCAAGAAAUUGGUGCUAAUACCGGAUGUGACCGCUGACCGCAUGGUCUGGUGGUGGAAAGAUUCAUCGGCUGAGGAUGGGCCCGCGGCCUAUCAGCUUGUUGGUGGGGUAAUGGCCCACCAAGGCGACGACGGGUAGCCGGCCGGAGAGGGUGACCGGCCACGCUGGGACUGCGACACGGCCCAGACUCCUACGGGAGGCAGCAGUGGGGAAUAUUGCGCAAUGGGCGAAAGCCUGACGCAGCGACGCCGCGUGAGGGAUGACGGCCUUCGGGUUGUAAACCUCUUUCAGUAGGGACGAAGCGCAAGUGACGGUACCUACAGAAGAAGCACCGGCCAACUACGUGCCAGCCGCCGCCGUAAUAC
rnacentral:rRNA from 1 species